rnacentral:piRNA from 1 species
UGGUUGACAAGAUCUUCCUUUGGGGGUGU